rnacentral:rRNA from 1 species
GACGAACGCUGGCGGCGUGCUUAACACAUGCAAGUCGAACGGAAAGGCCCUGCUUUUGUGGGGUGCUCGAGUGGCGAACGGGUGAGUAACACGUGAGUAACCUGCCCUUGACUUUGGGAUAACUUCAGGAAACUGGGGCUAAUACCGGAUAGGAGCUCCUGCUGCAUGGUGGGGGUUGGAAAGUUUCGGCGGUUGGGGAUGGGCUCGCGGCUUAUCAGCUUGUUGGUGGGGUAGUGGCUUACCAAGGCUUUGACGGGUAGCCGGCCUGAGAGGGUAACCGGCCACAUUGGGACUGAGAUACGGCCCAGACUCCUACGGGAGGCAGCAGUGGGGAAUAUUGCACAAUGGGCGGAAGCCUGAUGCAGCAACGCCGCGUGCGGGAUGACGGCCUUCGGGUUGUAAACCGCUUUCGCCUGUGACGAAGCGUGAGUGACGGUAAUGGGUAAAGAAGCACCGGCUAACUACGUG